rnacentral:rRNA from 1 species
UUGAUGCGCAGCUACCAUGCAGUCGAGCGAACCUUCGGGUUAGCGGCGGACGGGUGAGUAACGCGUGGGAACGUACCCUCUUCUGCGGGAUAGCCACUGGAAACGGUGAGUAAUACCGCAUACGCCCUUCGGGGGAAAGAUUUAUCGGAGGAGGAUCGGCCCGCGUUGGAUUAGGUAGUUGGUGGGGUAAUGGCCUACCAAGCCUACGAUCCAUAGCUGGUUUUAGAGGAUGAUCAGCCACACUGGGACUGAGACACGGCCCAGACUCCUACGGGAGGCAGCAGUGGGGAAUCUUAGACAAUGGGCGCAAGCCUGAUCUAGCCAUGCCGCGUGAGUGACGAAGGCCUUAGGGUCGUAAAGCUCUUUCGCCAGAGAUGAUAAUGACAGUAUCUGGUAAAGAAACCCCGGCUAACUCCGUGCCAGCAGCCGCGGUAAUACGGAGGGGGUUAGCGUUGUUCGGAAUUACUGGGCGUAAAGCGCACGUAGGCGGAUUGGAAAGUUGGGGGUGAAAUCCCAGGGCUCAACCCUGGAACUGCCUCCAAAACUCCCAGUCUGGAGUUCGAGAGAGGUGAGUGGAAUUCCGAGUGUAGAGGUGAAAUUCGUAGAUAUUCGGAGGAACACCAGUGGCGAAGGCGGCUCACUGGCUCGAUACUGACGCUG